UCGAACCUUUUGAUGUACUUUGUGUGCAUGUGUUUCUGUCACAUACGUGCCACAGUGGAACAGAUUUUGUUUUGACACUAUUUUGGUUCAUGAUGUUAUACUUUGACUAUUUUACAAUAAUAGCCAAUGUAAACAAACAUCUUUGGGAUUCUCAAAUUAUUACUUGUGAUUCUUGGACAUUGCAGCUCUGAGAUACUGACGCAUUCCUAGCUUUUCCAAGGACACCGUAUGUUAACAGCCGUGCCAGCCUCAUUAUCCCUCCAGCCGGGCUCCGGGCUGCUUCCUAAUGAGCGUUGUGCGGGAUUACUUUGCACACUCGCAAAGUUGAGGAAGGCACUGCCUUCUCCCAGGCUCAUGUGUGUACCCUGAUGCAGUAAAACUGCUAAAUAUGGUGAAAGUGUUCUGGUGUUUCUUCCUCUAUCGGCCAUGUCAGAGUCCAGUCAGCCUGGAUGAGUGGAAUUCGAUUCGACUGGCAGGCCAACCAGUUCUACAUUCAUUUAAAGAUCAACUUAAGGGGACUAUGAGGGACGGCCCCCUCCCCUCGCCCUCCGGGAGGCUGGAGGAUGGGCAGCCGGUUCCCGCGGCUCCCAGUCUCUGCCCGCGGCCGACCCGCGUCUGCGUCCUCAUUACCACUACAAAGCUGGGCAGACGUCGCCUCUUUCCAGAGCUGCGCUUUCAGCUGCGAACAUCAAGAGGCCAGAAAACAUCCAAGUGGGCCCGAGGACGCAGACGCCGCCUCGGUCCUGGCUUUAUCUCUAGGGAAAGUUCCAUUUUAAGAACCAGAUGCCAACAUUCCCGGACAGUUUAUGGUAUCCGGAUCCCUCGGGGUGCGCAUCCGCGGCUUAGAGUGUUAGCAGCAAUUAUUUAUCGUCUGCCCUGGAGAGGAGGUCCUGAACACGACUGUCCUCGGCGGACCCUGGGGGUGGGGGUGGGGUGGGGACACACGACUGUUCCCGAUCCGGUUAUCUGGUUUAGCAGAGUUUGUUGUGGUUUUCGAGGAAACAGCAUCUGGGUUACAUAAGGAUUCAAGUUUUUGCUUUGCUUGUUUAUUUAAUACCUUGGCAAGAGGGAGCCCUCACUCUGAAACCAGAUAACCGAAUUUGGGUUUAAAACAGCCUUAGAUGAGGGGCAACGAGAGGGGAAGAAAAUGAACCAAACCACAAAAAGCAAACAAGGGGAUGUUUAUUUUUCUCCCUUUGGGUAGUUUUGAAGACCUGCCUAACCUCUUACUUCUCGUCGCGCACAGCUAAUAAAUUGCAUUAACAAAGCACUUCAGCUACUACCGUGGCUUAGCGGACAUCCCUCCCCCGCGCCGCCCCCACCCCAGCCCUAAUUCCUUCUAGGAUUCGCGCGCGGUCCUGUUUGCCCAGAGAUCUCAAGAGCACCAGGAAAAACGGCGUGCUAAAUCCAAUUUCUUUCAACCGUCUGAUCUCCUUGUAGGGAGAUCACCUUUCAGCCCCGUUCAAAGAAAGCAAAGUUUGGAAAGUUUGGCGGAGGGGCCGAUUUAACUACCAGCACGGCAAAUAUUUAGUUACAAACGCUGUGAAGUGCCCAGAUUUGUGGCCGCGUUUGGCUUUCACAAAGGAUUUUCCUGUGACUUUUGUUCCGGUCACCAAAUUAAAAAAGAAAAUUAACUUGAGCGAGAGAUAAGGGCUUGGAAAACAACCCCGGGCCGCCCGCGAGCUGGCGGGCCGCGGGACUGGCGUCGCCGAGUCUGCGCCGCCCCGAGGCGCGCGUCGCGGGGGUCCGGCCCCCGCGGGGAGCCCGGGUCACCGCUCGGACCCCGGGCCGCCGCCCACCGUGAGCCAACCCUCGCGGCACACAGCGCCGCGGCCGCCGGGCUGCCUGCCGGCGUCCGUGGGAAACCGCGGUAACCCUCUCUAGCCAGCGACAAGGGCGGGCUUGUCCGGAAUCAGGCUGCAUCUUAAUAUUAUAGUACGGCCCCCAAAGCAAAACCCAAGGCCCCGCUUACGAGUCUCUUAACAAGAAACACAUUGUGCGCUUUUUUCCCCCUCCUUUUUGGCCGAAGCCACAUUGGCGCGCUGGCCACGGUACUGUGAGCCAAGUCCAUGACUUCAGAGGGGAGGGACCCGCCUGCCCCGCACCACGUGCGCGCCCGGCCCGGAUGGCCACCCCGCCGCGCCCUGCCGCCCUGUCCCGCCGACAGGUCAGGGGCUCCGGCCGGGGCCAGGGCGCGCUCGGCGGACACGCGUCCUGCGCCCGCGGCUCUUUGGCCGCUGCCUUUUCCCGACCCGGGGAGGUACCCAGGAGGCGCCAGUGCGGUAACUGAUCGCUGGCCGCUCUAGUCGGAGACGCUUUAUUUUAAAAUACUUUGACAGCCUUCUGUGUCCCCCACCCCCAAGUCCUUGGGGCUUUUACUCCCAGGUUCUACCAUCCCUCUUCCCUAAAAAGGACAAUUUACAGUAUACCUUCUCUCAACUGGAAAUAGCCCAAGGGUUCUGCAAGCCCUCUGAGCCCUGUCACGUGUCAUUGCUGUCCCUGUCCAGAGGAGGUACAGGAUCUAGGGCUGCAUUUUCAGGGAGGUAUUAACACUGAGGGACUGAACCUGACUCUGUACUGACAGAAGUUCACCUCGGGUCUGAGGACUUCACUUCUUAGUGUGGGUAACCUUUACAGGCAGAGUCCUGGGGCCCACAUCUCUAGAGAUUCUGCUUAACUGGGUUUGGUGAGCGGCCAAGGAAACGCUGAGGAGACAUGGAUGCAGGUGGUGCGGGUUCCACACUGAUGGAAUGACAGCAGGAAUGUGGCAAUGAGAAGACCUGCAUUUGUACUGAAAAUGUUUGCUGAGCAAGGGGUCCCAGGGAGAAGCAAGAGCUGAAGAACACGGCGCUGAAUGGAAGUGCCGACAUCCACCGCUGAGCAAGGACUGUGAAACCAUUCACGGAUGGAUUUUGACCGUUAGGGAAUAGAUACCAAAUGUUUUUUGAUCCUGUCAGGAUCAAGAGAAAAAAACCAGUAAUUCAGUGAUUACUUAAAACAAAAAAUAAUUUAUUUAUUUUAAUUGGAAGCUAAUUACUUUACAGUAUUGUAGUGGUUUUGCCAUACAUUGACAUGAAUCGGUCAUGGGUGUACAUGUGUCAGUGAUUGCUUUUUAAAAACAUGUGACAGUCACAUGGCCUGAGUUUCAUUUUGUUGUUUAAUUUUUAACCGAUAGUACUUCCUUCCAGCUUGCUUCUGAAAGAAAAUUGUAUUUAGAGGUGACCUGCUGUUUACUAGAGUAGAGGGAAGACAGCAUGGGACUUCUCAAAGCUGUCCCGGUUUUUCUUACAUUGUACUGUUCCCCUGCCCCUACCAUGUAAAGCCUUUUGGAUAUUUGAGUAAAUGUCAGCUCUGGUGUUUGUCCCAUUCCCCUUC